CGUGACCGCCGGCCCGCCGCGCCGCACGCAGAAUCUGUGUCGGCUCGCAGGAUAUUGCAUGGGAUGUUACGGCACGUUCGUACACAACGUACCAGUAGCGAUUGCUCACAAAAUUGCAGAAGACUGGGGAACUAUUUGAACAGAUCUGGGAUCUAUGUAAGUCGGUGGACAAUAUCAAUAACCUUAUGAUACCUGGAGAAAUGGGUGGUGAUUUCGUCACACCCGCGGUUAAAAUCAUCAACAACAACCGACUGCCCAGAGGUUACAUCCAGAUGCAGCUUCCUAACCAGCUCCUUCAGGACCUACAUUGGACAACACGGCGGCAGUUGCCAACCGCUCGUUAGCAGUUGUUCGGAGCACCCGGCAGAAGAGCGGAUGGAGUUGUCAGAACAGGAAUCCUCCGGCUUCUCCGCCACGAGUAACAAGCGGCAAAGUGAGAUCACAGCUCGCCUCACGUGUUGCAGAGUGGAAUCACAGGACAUCAAAUAUUUUCCAGUUCUUCUUCCUGAUUACCAAAGAAGGGAACACUCUUCCUGGCCUCCCUAUUUGAGGCAUUUCUAAAGUGGUGCGCAGAGGAAACUGUACUAAAUGUAUGAGGAUCAAUAAAUUCGACUUCUGAAGAGGAACUGAUUAUGCCUAAAGAAUAAUUAUUUAUCUCAACGUGAAUAUCGAUAUGAUCACUUGCAAGUGCAGCCUACGUAUAACAUUUUCCCUCGCCACCGGUGCUGUAGCUCUGCAGAAAUCGAUAGUGAUUCAUGGAAAAAGUGCUUCAUUAAUAAAAAAUAUAUGUGUCAGAAAAAUGUCUAACAAAAGCAUGCCAUCUUCCAAUAAUUAUCAUAUCAAGAACACAUGGCCAAUUUUUUAGAGGUCUAGAGUUACAUGUAGUUUUUAAAUUGCUAUUGUUUCCGCAAAUACUUCGUGGAACGGUGUUCAUGAGGCAGGUUGCGAGUUGUCAUCAGAAGUGCUUCUCAAAAGGCAAAUAACUUUUGUUCCCCGCUGGAAUCCAACAGAUAACCAGUAACAGAUAAUUCAUUCGAUAUUCAAUUUCUACCUGCGGUGUCCUUGCAAUUUCUUAAUAUAGAGCGAAGAAUUAUUGAAUUAUUAACAGUCUUCAAGUAACAA